GAGAUAGGGUCUUCAUGGCCCGACCUCCAACCCUCUGUUGUUAAACUACCUUGUUGCUUUGGCGGGACCGUCUCGGUCUCCGAGCGCACUAACCCUCGGGUUGGUGAGCGCCCGCCAGAGUCCAACCAAACUCUUGUAUUAAACCAGUCGUCUGAGUAUAAAAUUUUAAUUAAAUUAAAACUUUCAACAACGGAUCUCUUGGUUCUCGCAUCGAUGAAGAACGCAGCGAAAUGCGAUAAGUAAUGUGAAUUGCAGAAUUCAGUGAAUCAUCGAAUCUUUGAACGCACAUUGCGCCCCUUGGUAUUCCGAGGGGCAUGCCUGUUCGAGCGUCAUUACACCACUCAAGCAUCGCUUGGUAUUGGGAACGGUCCGUCGAAAGGCGGGCCUUCCUCGAAGACCUCGGCGGGGUUCAACCAACUUCGGGCGUAGUAGAGUUAAAUCGAACGUCUUAUAAGCUUGGUCGGAUCUCAUUGCCGUUAAACCUUUAAAUUUUCUAGGUUGACCUCGGAUCAGGUAGGGAUACCCGCUGAACUUAAGCAUAUCAAUA
rnacentral:rRNA from 1 species